AUUGAACGCUGGCGGCAGGCUUAACACAUGCAAGUCGAGCGGAGAGAGGUAGCUUGCUACUGAUCUUAGCGGCGGACGGGUGAGUAAUGCUUAGGAAUCUGCCUAUUAGUGGGGGACAACAUUUCGAAAGGAAUGCUAAUACCGCAUACGUCCUACGGGAGAAAGCAGGGGAUCUUCGGACCUUGCGCUAAUAGAUGAGCCUAAGUCGGAUUAGCUAGUUGGUGGGGUAAAGGCCUACCAAGGCGACGAUCUGUAGCGGGUCUGAGAGGAUGAUCCGCCACACUGGGACUGGGACACGGCCCAGACUCCUACGGGAGGCAGCAGUGGGGAAUAUUGGACAAUGGGCGCAAGCCUGAUCCAGCCAUGCCGCGUGUGUGAAGAAGGCCUUAUGGUUGUAAAGCACUUUAAGCGAGGAGGAGGCUCUUUUGGUUAAUACCCAAGAUGAGUGGACGUUACUCGCAGAAUAAGCACCGGCUAACUCUGUGCCAGCAGCCGCGGUAA
rnacentral:rRNA from 1 species